AUACAUACCUGGCAGGGGAGAUAUCAUGAUCAUGAAAGUCAUUUUCCUGGAACGAGGCUCAUCAAUUGCACUUCAGAUGUGCAAAUUCCCAAAUAUGGAAAAUGCCAAUAAUGCUGCAUCC
rnacentral:snRNA from 1 species